UCCAGUUGUAACAACGCGCGCGCACACGCACACAUCACUGUCCCUACCUAGUGAUUACAAUUAUCUAGUUACUUACAGAUAAGGAAAAUUGUGUAAAUAUUUGUGCAAAACAGUCUGCAUACUUUUUUUAAAGGAGUCCUGGUUAUACAAGGAUGUUAAAAGAUGUUACACUUGUGAUUCACCCAGCAAGACUUCAAAACUGGUGUGCUCUUUCAUCCGAUGGAGGAAUUUCCCUGCUGAAGGGAUCAAAGCUGCAGAAGGACAGCAGGUGUGAAGACACUUCAUUUUUGACAACAGAAAACAGAAGUGAAGGAGGAGCUGCAGAAAGGGAGAGAGAGAGAGAGAGAGAGAGAGAGAGAGAGCUUUAAUAUUGAAAACUUUAGGCCCUCCAACCCGCCUGAGCCAACGCUACCCCCAACUGGCUUUCCAUGGGAAACGUGGAGGCCCAGAGAUCCAGAAACACAUGUGGUUAGCCAUAAAAACGGCACAUGGACUGUAUGCUCUCCCUGCACUCAGCCCCCAACUCUUCAACCCUGCAUACCUACCCUCACACAGAAGAAAGAGAACAAGAACAACAGAAGAAAUGGGGGUGUGGGGGGGAGUGGAAAAAAGCAGCUUUUGAAACAAGGGACCUCAUUUAUCAAGCUAGAUUUGAAUGGAUUUAAUCGUAAAUCGUCUGUAUGAGCAUUCACAUCAGAAUUUUCUUUUUUAGAAAAUCCAGGAAAAUGUAGAAAUAUUCAUAUUCCAGAGUGUCAGAAAAACAUCCACAUGAAAGUUCACUAGUUUAGGGACACCGUAUAAAAUAACAUUGGUAAAAACCAGUUGUUUUACAUCACUGGCAUUAAUUAAAGAUUGGGAAGAAAGCAAGCCAACAUAAAACCAAUCAUUCAAUUAUGAAGAAAUAGUGGAUGGACUGUUUGGACAUAACCAAUAGCUGUAAACAAAUGCCUCAGAUUAUUCUUGUGGCAAAUAUUAGAAAUAUAAUUGCUGUGUAUAAUUGUUCUAAAGUGGGCCAUUCAUCCCUAUAGAAGAAGUACAUAAGGAAGUGCAUAUUAUUAAGUCUUUAUCUGGGAAAUCCAAACAGCAGGAUUCAAAGACACAAAACUUAGUCAUUAAGUAGUAUACAGGAAAUCUAGCAACAAGCUAUAAUACCCAAAUGGAUUAUAAAAGCAACCUGCUAGCAACACAAUAGCUAUCACCUGGAAUGUCUGAGCUACCAACUAGUAACUAGUUUAUAUGUAGGAACCGCCUAUAAACACUAUAGUGUCCUCCUGGAUUACUCCCACAUAAUAGCAAUUAACUCCUAUGUAACCUGCCAAGUUUUCUUAGCAACUAACUAGCUACAAACUUGCAACUAACUGGGGUUAUACUUAAACCACUCAGAGACACCAUAGCAAACACUUGGGUCCCCAUAAAAGCUACGUAGCAAUACAUUUGGGAACCAACUAUCUACCUUUCACCCAAUUGGGAACAUGUUGAAACCUUCUGAAAACACUACUGCAACCACAUGAGAACCAAUAACAGCCACCUAGCAACAUUCUAGCAAUGAUCUGAUUUACCUUAGCAGCUGACUAACUGCGAUCAAGUAACCAACUGGGAUCAUUUUGAAACCAGGUGGGACCCCAUUAAAAUAGUGUAUGUAUAUCAAAAUAAUAAUAUUUUUUAGUGUUUAGUCUUUUAACUGUUCUUUAACUGUCCAUAACAAUCAAGAAUUUGUAAACAUUUAGUAUAUAAUCACAUAUAUGCGGAAUGGCAACUGCUAGGCAAAAUAAAUGCAAUUUAUACCUAGCAGUAACAUUUAUUGUGUUUAAUGGGUGCCACUACAAACACAAUUAACUAUACUUACACAAAAGGUAUUUAAAGAUUGAUAAAUGAAGUCCAUUGAGAUUAAAGGAAAUGCUGAUGGGCAAAAAUCCCAGCAGUAUAUUGGCAGGAGAAAACAAAAGUGAGUGGCCACAUGAUGCUUGAACAGGAUGCUUCCCCAACAAUGAGGAUCUUGUUGCAAGACAGUUAAUCUCUUUCACUCCAUGAGCCUAAGACAAACAUCUCCAAAGGAGGAGCUUGGCCUGGGUGCGAAAAUUCUGCUGCAACCCCCACAACAUACAAUAAGUAUCCCCAGAGACACUGUUUCAGUACCUGUCUGUCCUUGUCCUGUGUUCUGCAUUGUGUUAGUUCUGCCCUCAGGGUCUGAAAAUCUGUUGUUCUGCUCACAAGGAAGAUGUAAGCAAUUUAAAAUCCCAUCUGCAUGUUUCUUCUUUUCUGUUUGCCAUGCCAAGGAGCAAUGACUUACAGCUGGAAGGCUGCAACAAGCAUCCAUAAUCCUACCUAAUCUUACUUUUUAAUUCACAUUGAAGGCACUGUUUAUAGGAAAUGCCUGAUAAGCCAUGUAACAGCAUUCUAUC